CAGCAGCCGCGGUAAUACGGAGGGUGCAAGCGUUAAUCGGAAUUACUGGGCGUAAAGCGCACGCAGGCGGUCUGUCAAGUCGGAUGUGAAAUCCCCGGGCUCAACCUGGGAACUGCAUUCGAAACUGGCAGGCUAGAGUCUUGUAGAGGGGGGUAGAAUUCCAGGUGUAGCGGUGAAAUGCGUAGAGAUCUGGAGGAAUACCGGUGGCGAAAGCGGCUCACUGGACCAUAACUGACGCUGAUGCACGAAAGCUAGGGGAGCAAACAGGAUUAGAUACCCCGGUAGUCCCUGUCUCUUAUAC
rnacentral:rRNA from 1 species